CAGUUUUAUACCUAGGUACAUGUACUGCAGCUGAUAAUGCCAGUGGGGAAUAUAUGGAGGAACUACUAGAGCUGAAAACUGACGUGUGUUCAUAUAGAUGGAUAUGGAUUAAAUUAGCAAGAUGAAUAAGAGAUAUUUACAGAAAGCAACAAAAGGAAAACUUCUUAUAAUAAUAUUUGUUGUAACACUCUGGGGGAAAUUAGCAUCUGGGGCAAACCAUCAUAAAGAUUCACAUGAGUACACGUCCCAUGAAGCAAGAACAUAUACCAUCUUAAGGGACGCUCACCAUGUUAAAACUGGAACCUGUGAGGUGGUGGCACUCCACAGAUGUUGUAAUAAGAACAAGAUAGAAGAAAGGUCACAGACAGUCAAGUGCUCCUGCUUUCCAGGGCAGGUAGCAGGUACCACUCGAGCAGCUCCUUCUUGUGUUGAUGCUUCGAUAGUGGAACAGAAAUGGUGGUGCCACAUGCAGCCCUGUCUUGAAGGGGAAGAAUGUAAAGUUCUUCCAGAUCGGAAAGGAUGGAGCUGUUCUUCUGGGAAUAAAGUGAAAACAACUAGGGCAAACGUGUAAAACUCUUCAAGUCCGAAUGGAGAAGUAGAAAAAAAAGAGGUUUCUGCUGUGCCUGAUGACAAUUUUUGAUUUUUCCACACACAAAAAAUAUUCUGGCUCCACGUUGGAGCACUAGUUGUGAUGAAUCCUAGUCUUGGUCGGAUUUUAAGGAAGGGCCAGAAGGUUCGUUGAGGAGUAAAGAGUCAAAACCACUCCAGAAAAUGUGUUCCAGCCCUGGUUUAUUACUCACAGAGCAGCAGGUAACCCGAUAGCUGACGACAAAUCAAGUCAAUCUCAAGGCUGAUGACCUUAAAUACAACGUACAGAAAUUUCAGCAAGCAGUCCUUGAAGUGAGAUUUUAUACUGCUGGGGUUUGCCCUUCAGAACCAAUUAUUUCAAUGAGAACCUCACUUGUUAUCAGCAACAGUCUUGAGAUCAAAACUACUGAAAAGUCAUUGUGAACUUCUGUGUCACAUAGAUUUCAACUGAUUCAACUGUGUACACUUGUAAAAUUGCAUUUGCUGAGGAUUUUGUGGCUGCAAUCUCAAGAGGUGAUGUUCAAAAGGUGCAGAAAAGGCAGCAAUCUUUCGGGUUCUCCAUUCCAGACUGACAGCUUUUCAUCUUUGCAAAGACAGCCUUCAAAAUGUACUGGUCCUUUCACUCUAAAACAUUUCUUGGUCCUACAUUCAAAUUGUUGGUGGGACUGCACACCACUUUAAUCAAAUUUCUGUUGCAGAAAUUGUCCUCUGGCAUGGCACAGUUUUAGACAUUUUUAUUUGUAUUCUAAUCUUAAAGUUCCAAAAGGCUACAUAUUUCAACAUCUUGAAGUUGCUUUUGUUAUAGGAAUGGAAAUAUAUAUCCAUUGUUAAUAAUUAUUGUUGACAAGUAAUAGUAAUCUGAGUACAUCAAUCAUAUUAGAAUGUAUAGUCAAGCCUGACAUGUUUCCCUAAGGCUAACUAACUACUGCAGCUCUUUGGCAGUUAAAUAAGUGGUGGUCAAAACUCAAUUACCAUUUUCAUUAGAAAGUAUUUUAUACCUUACAGUAUACAUUUCUGUUUAGUUUAAAGAUUGGGGUUCCUGCUAUGUACUUUAGUUUCUUAACAGUAAAUUCUUCUAAGUUCACAAUAAGCAGUAAAUGAUACUAACUAGUUCCUUCUUGUAAAGAUAGAGAGGGAUGCAUGUGACUUACAAUUCUGAGAUUGGAUGGUGAUCAUUCAGAAUUUCUUUUAGUUAUUAUUUAAAAUAGAACCUAUCUUUUGCUUGGACACAAGUACUGUCUGGAUGCUUAUGUAGAUGUCUCCUCAGUCUCUUCGUUGAUAGAGGAAAAAAUAAUUCUCUUCAACUCUGCUGUUCAUUAAUAUUUUGCUUACUGUUGUCCUGCCCAGAUAUUCUGGUCCUUCCUAUAGUCAUUUUCUCAAAAUAACAUUUAUUUUCCUAUUUUCUACUUCAGUAGUAAUUUUUUUGAACUCUGUGAUGUGCUGUUCCAUGAAAACCCUUAAUAUUUAAAGGCCUUAAACAUCUAUGGACUUUUUUCUAAGUUAUUACAGAAUGUAUAAUUUUAUACUCCAUUUAAUAUAUAUAGCAUCAUCUGUAAUAAUAAGACAAAGGGGAGCCGACAAUUCUUUGCUGUACUGUAUUGACACUGCAUAAGCAUGCCAACUGGAGAGAGUGAAAGAGUUAUAUUAUAUGCUUUGUUUAGUACAUUGAAAUGAAGAUCAUACAAACUCAGAUUUAGUCAGAAAAACUGUGGGGGCAAUCUCAUUCAAAUGGCCUGCAUGGUUACUAGCAUUUUAGAAAAAGAGGGAAAUCUUUUGUAUUGUUACAAGUCAUUGACAUGGCUAACUAGAUAUAAAUUAGGUUCCAUGAUGAAUGAAUACCCUGGGGUGUGCUGAUCUGUCACACUAACCAAGGCUGUUCUAAGACCAUUUAAUUACCUCUGCUGUAUUAUUGCACAGGAGAGCUAAACAUUAAUGAUUGUUGGAAAUAAAUUUGGGAUGUAUAUUUUGUCAUUUUGCUGAGGAAUAAUCAAAAGCACUGGUGGGGAAAUAUAUUCUUUUCUAAUUCAAAUUAAAUUAGGAGAAACUGUUUAAAACAGCAGUUAACUAUCUCAGUAUUUUAAAAUGGAUUACCAUUGUGUGGAUUGAUGCUACAAGAGGUGCAAGAGUGAAAACAGCAUCUUAAGGAGAAAAAUCCUUUAUUUGGGACAGUAGAAACUACAAAUGUGUUAUUUUUUAGAAUAUGAGUUUGGCCUCAAUUUUGGUCAAAAUUCUGCAUCAUGCUUCUUUCUCAAUAUUUGUUUUCUUUGACUUUGUUCUUAAAACCAACACUGCAAAUACUGUAUUAUAUACAAGUGUAUCACAUGCAUAUCAAUAGGUGAAAAUAAAUGGAUUUUCAAAUAUACAGAAUAGAUUAUCUGCAGUAGAUUAAUGUUGUGACUAUUCAAAACAAGUGAAUAAAAUUGUGAUAUAAAAUGAA